rfam:Gordonia sp. NB4-1Y contig_65, whole genome shotgun sequence.
GGCCCCGGGUGGCCCGAGGCCUCGGCCCGGUCAGACCCUGGCGUACUUCCCCAACGCCAGGUUCACGAUCGGGCCGGGACCCCGCGCCAUCACAGGCCAUCG